rnacentral:rRNA from 1 species
UCUGCUCAAUGAUUUUUUAAAUUGCUGUGGUAUUUUGACUAUACAAAGGUAUUGAAAUAAGAUUUUAAUUGAAUGCUAAGAGAAUGGAAUUUCAGAAAAAAGCUUUUUUUAAAUUAAAAAUUGAACUUUUUUUAAUUUGUGCAGAAACAAUUAUUAAUAUUAAGGACAAGAAGACCCUAUGAAUUUAUUAAAUUUAUAUUAAUGAGAAUUUCACAUUAAUAAAUUUUGGCUGGGGCGGCAAGAAAAUAUUGAAAACUUUUCAAAAAUAAAAUGACCCAUUAUUAAUGAUUACAUGUUAAAUACUCUAGGGAUAACAGCGUAAUAUUUUUUG